CCGGCGAUGUCCGAAUGGGGAAACCCAGUGCAAUUCGUUGCACUAUCGUUAACUGAAUACAUAGGUUAACGAGGCGAACCGGGGGAACUGAAACAUCUAAGUACCCCGAGGAAAAGAAAUCAACCGAGAUUCCCCCAGUAGCGGCGAGCGAACGGGGAGCAGCCCAGAGUCUGAAUCAGCUUGUGUGUUAGUGGAACGGUCUGGAAAGUCCGACGGUACAGGGUGAUAGUCCCGUACACCAAAAUGCACAGGUUGUGAACUCGAAGAGUAGGGCGGGACACGUGGUAUCCUGUCUGAAUAUGGGGGGACCAUCCUCCAAGGCUAAAUACUCCUGACUGACCGAUAGUGAACCAGUACCGUGAGGGAAAGGCGAAAAGAACCCCGGCGAGGGGAGUGAAAAAGAACCUGAAACCGUGUACGUACAAGCAGUGGGAGCACCUUCGGGUGUGACUGCGUACCUUUUGUAUAAUGGGUCAGCGACUUAUAUUCUGUAGCAAGGUUAACCGUAUAGGGGAGCCGCAGGGAAACCGAGUCUUAACUGGGCGUUAAGUUGCAGGGUAUAGACCCGAAACCCGGUGAUCUAGCCAUGGGCAGGUUGAAGGUUGGGUAACACUAACUGGAGGACCGAACCGACUAAUGUUGAAAAAUUAGCGGAUGACUUGUGGCUGGGGGUGAAAGGCCAAUCAAACCGGGAGAUAGCUGGUUCUCCCCGAAAGCUAUUUAGGUAGCGCCUCGUGAACUCAUCUUCGGGGGUAGAGCACUGUUUCGGCUAGGGGGUCAUCCCGACUUACCAACCCGAUGCAAACUACGAAUACCGAAGAAUGUUAUCACGGGAGACACACGGCGGGUGCUAACGUCCGUCGUGAAGAGGGAAACAACCCAGACCGCCAGCUAAGGUCCCAAAGUCAUGGUUAAGUGGGAAACGAUGUGGGAAGGCACAGACAGCCAGGAUGUUGGCUUAGAAGCAGCCAUCAUUUAAAGAAAGCGUAAUAGCUCACUGGUCGAGUCGGCCUGCGCGGAAGAUGUAACGGGGCUAAACCAUGCACCGAAGCUGCGGCAGCGACACUAUGUGUUGUUGGGUAGGGGAGCGUUCUGUAAGCCUGCGAAGGUGUGCUGUGAGGCAUGCUGGAGGUAUCAGAAGUGCGAAUGCUGACAUAAGUAACGAUAAAGCGGGUGAAAAGCCCGCUCGCCGGAAGACCAAGGGUUCCUGUCCAACGUUAAUCGGGGCAGGGUGAGUCGACCCCUAAGGCGAGGCCGAAAGGCGUAGUCGAUGGGAAACAGGUUAAUAUUCCUGUACUUGGUGUUACUGCGAAGGGGGGACGGAGAAGGCUAUGUUAGCCGGGCGACGGUUGUCCCGGUUUAAGCAUGUAGGCUGGUUGUCCAGGCAAAUCCGGAUAAUCAAGGCUGAGGUGUGAUGACGAGGCACUACGGUGCUGAAGUAACAAAUGCCCUGCUUCCAGGAAAAGCCUCUAAGCAUCAGGUAACAUCAAAUCGUACCCCAAACCGACACAGGUGGUCAGGUAGAGAAUACCAAGGCGCUUGAGAGAACUCGGGUGAAGGAACUAGGCAAAAUGGUGCCGUAACUUCGGGAGAAGGCACGCUGGUGUGUAGGUGAAGCCCCUGCGGGUGGAGCUGAGACCAGUCGAAGAUACCAGCUGGCUGCAACUGUUUAUUAAAAACACAGCACUGUGCAAACACGAAAGUGGACGUAUACGGUGUGACGCCUGCCCGGUGCCGGAAGGUUAAUUGAUGGGGUUAUCCGUAAGGAGAAGCUCUUGAUCGAAGCCCCGGUAAACGGCGGCCGUAACUAUAACGGUCCUAAGGUAGCGAAAUUCCUUGUCGGGUAAGUUCCGACCUGCACGAAUGGCGUAAUGAUGGCCAGGCUGUCUCCACCCGAGACUCAGUGAAAUUGAACUCGCUGUGAAGAUGCAGUGUACCCGCGGCAAGACGGAAAGACCCCGUGAACCUUUACUAUAGCUUGACACUGAACAUUGAGCCUUGAUGUGUAGGAUAGGUGGGAGGCUUUGAAGCGUGGACGCCAGUCUGCGUGGAGCCAACCUUGAAAUACCACCCUUUAAUGUUUGAUGUUCUAACGUUGGCCCCUGACCGGGGUUGCGGACAGUGUCUGGUGGGUAGUUUGACUGGGGCGGUCUCCUCCCAAAGCGUAACGGAGGAGCACGAAGGUUAGCUAAUCCUGGUCGGACAUCAGGAGGUUAGUGCAAUGGCAUAAGCUAGCUUGACUGCGAGCGUGACGGCGCGAGCAGGUGCGAAAGCAGGUCAUAGUGAUCCGGUGGUUCUGAAUGGAAGGGCCAUCGCUCAACGGAUAAAAGGUACUCCGGGGAUAACAGGCUGAUACCGCCCAAGAGUUCAUAUCGACGGCGGUGUUUGGCACCUCGAUGUCGGCUCAUCACAUCCUGGGGCUGAAGUAGGUCCCAAGGGUAUGGCUGUUCGCCAUUUAAAGUGGUACGCGAGCUGGGUUUAGAACGUCGUGAGACAGUUCGGUCCCUAUCUGCCGUGGGCGCUGGAGAAUUGAGGGGGGCUGCUCCUAGUACGAGAGGACCGGAGUGGACGCAUCACUGGUGUUCGGGUUGUCAUGCCAAUGGCACUGCCCGGUAGCUAAAUGCGGAAGAGAUAAGUGCUGAAAGCAUCUAAGCACGAAACUUGCCCCGAGAUGAGUUCUCCCUGAGACUUUAAGUCUCCUGAAGGAACGUU
rnacentral:rRNA from 1 species